rnacentral:rRNA from 1 species
AGGAUAAACGCUGGCGGCGUGCAUGAGACAUGCAAGUCGAACGGACGAUCAGGGCUUGCUCUGAUCGUUAGUGGCGGACGGCUGAGUAACGCGUAGGUGACCUGCCCCGAAGUGGGGAAUAACUGCCCGAAAGGGUGGCUAAUACCGCAUGUGGUGGUGUGUUCAUUCACACCAGUAAAGCCGCAAGGCGCUUCGGGAGGGGCCUGCGUCCGAUUAGCUCGUUGGUGGGGUAACGGCUCACCAAGGCGACGAUCGAUAGGUGGUCUGAGAGGACGAUCACCCAGACUGGGACUGAGACACGGCCCAGACUCCUACGGGAGGCAGCAGUCGGGAAUUUUGCGCAAUGGACGAAAGUCUGACGCAGCAACGCCGCGUGAGGGAUGAAGGCCUUCGGGUUGUAAACCUCUUUUCUCUAGGGAAGAUAAUGACGGUACCUGAGGAAUAAGCCACGGCUAACUACGUGCCAGCAGCCGC